rnacentral:rRNA from 1 species
AUUGAACGCUGGCGGCAUGCCUUACACAUGCAAGUCGAACGGUAACGCGGGGCAACCUGGCGACGAGUGGCGAACGGGGGAGGAAUGCAUCGGAACGUGCCUGGUAGUGGGGGAUAACUGCUCGAAAGAGCAGCUAAUACCGCAUACGACCUGAGGGUGAAAGGGGGGGAUCGCAAGACCUCUCGCUAUCAGAGCGGCCGAUGUCGGAUUAGCUAGUUGGUGGGGUAAAGGCCCACCAAGGCGACGAUCCGUAGCUGGUCUGAGAGGACGACCAGCCACACUGGGACUGAGACACGGCCCAGACUCCUACGGGAGGCAGCAGUGGGGAAUUUUGGACAAUGGACGCAAGUCUGAUCCAGCCAUGCCGCGUGCGGGAAGAAGGCCUUCGGGUUGUAAACCGCUUUUGUCAGGGAAGAAAUCUUCUGAGUUAAUACCUCGGGAGGAUGACGGUACCUGAAGAAUAAGCACCGGCUAACUACGUGCCAGCAGCCGCCGUAAUAC